AAGCAAGGAUAUCAAGCUGCUCAAUGAGACAAUCUGAGGUGUGGAUGGGCCAGAAUAUCUGAGGUGCUGUCAUUCCAAUUACUCCACUGUGCAGCUCUCUUUAGAAUCAAAUCAGCCCUCGGCGGAGUGCCAGCAGGACAGAUCCUGAAACCUACUGUCUUCUCUUUACACACUUACUUGGUAUGCGUCAGCCCUGAGACAUUGAUGUGUGAGCCACUUGACGUUUUGAUGUCUACAGCCCAAACUCAAACCUUUUCUCAGAGAUCCUACUUCAGGCUUACACGUCUGGGUCUCAAGGACAGUCCAUUCUCCACACAUCAACCGGAGUGGGAUUUCUCCAAAUGCUGAGCUGUGCAUGUCGUCUGCAUGUCUUCAAACUUUUCAGUGGAUGCCGGGGGUCUUGUAAUGAAGAGCAACAAUUACCAGGGUUCCAAGUCUCUUUAACGCAUCCUGUCUCAUAAUUCUCUUCCCUCUGAUCUCUGCACCCCAGCCACCCUGAUCUUCCGUCAGUUCCUUAAAUGAGUCACCUUCACCCAGAAGCAAGGCUUUGACAUAGGUGGUUUCCUUUGCCUGAAAAGCUAUCUCCAUUCCAAAGUCUGCCACCAUAACACCUCAGUGCCCUUCACUCCCCAACCCUAGUACCACUUCCUCCCUGAAGCUCUUCCUAAUUGCCCAUCCUGGAUAAGGUCUGUACAUUUUAUUAAAGGACCUU